rnacentral:rRNA from 1 species
UACGUAGGGUGCAAGCGUUGUCCGGAAUUAUUGGGCGUAAAGAGCUCGUAGGCGGUCUGUCGCGUCGGCUGUGAAAACCCGAGGCUCAACCUCGGGCCUGCAGUCGAUACGGGCAAACUGGAGUACUGCAGGGGAGACUGGAAUUCCUGGUGUAGCGGUGAAAUGCGCAGAUAUCAGGAGGAACACCGGUGGCGAAGGCGGGUCUCUGGGCCGAAACUGACGCUGAGGAGCGAAAGCGUGGGGAGCGAACAGG